rnacentral:rRNA from 1 species
GACGAACGCUGGCGGCGUGCCUAAUACAUGCAAGUCGAACGAACCGCGACUGAGUGCUUGCACUUGGUCAAGGUGAGUGGCGAACGGGUGAGUAACACGUGGGUAACCUACCUCAUAGUGGGGGAUAACAGUCGGAAACGACUGCUAAUACCGCAUAGGACAUAGGAUCACAUGAUCCAGUGAGGAAAGGUGGCGCAAGCUAUCGCUAAGAGAUGGACCCGCGGUGAAUUAGCUAGUUGGUAGGGUAAAGGCCUACCAAGGCGAUGAUGCAUAGCCGACCUGAGAGGGUGAUCGGCCACAUUGGGACUGAGACACGGCCCAAACUCCUACGGGAGGCAGCAGUAGGGAAUCUUCCGCAAUGGACGCAAGUCUGACGGAGCAACGCCGCGUGAGUGAAGAAGGUCUUCGGAUCGUAAAGCUCUGUUGUUAGAGAAGAACAGCGCAUAGAGUAACUGCUAUGCGUGUGACGGUAUCUAACCAGAAAGCCACGGCUAACUACGUG